GCUGGGCAUGGUGGCACAUGCCUGUAGUCCCAGCUACUUGGGAGGCUGAGGCAGGAGAAUCACUUGAACCCAGGAGGCAGAGUUUGCAGUGAGCCAAGAUUGUGCCACUGCACUCCAGCCUGGGCGACAGAGUGAAAUCCUGUCUCAA
rnacentral:SRP_RNA from 2 species